rnacentral:lncRNA from 1 species
CUACAUUUACUUACAUGGUUUACAGAUAGCUUAUAGAUAAAAUACUGGCCUCUAAAAUUCCAGCAAAAUAUACAAGGUUUACUCUUAGUUCUAUUCCUCCAAGAAGGAACCUAGGCAUGGCUCUAUUAUAAAAUCAUUAGAACUUGUUUGACAUCCCAAAUACUAAUUAAAACAUAAGGGUGCCAGAUACAAAAAUAGAUACGAGUGCAUUUAAAAUAAUUAUAUGCAGCAUAAUAAAAUAUAUUACAAUCCCUUACAAAAUAAGUUAGAGUUCCAAAUCUUACAAUACUGAGCCAAAAUAAAAAUAAGUACAAGGCUCUUCAAAAGUUGGACUCAUCAAAGUGUGAAACCAAAAUAAGCACUUGUAAUAGUUCAUGGAUCCACGGGAUCCUUAAAGGCUUCAAUGGGCAAGUUAGCUAGCAGUUCUUCACUAUUGUCCUCAUCUGAAGGAGGAUCAUAGAAAUGGGUGAGUUCCAUAUACCAAAUAAGAAAAAGAGUAUCUAAUCAAUAUUACUAAGAUUUAAAAGUAAUUAAAUUUAUAAAUAAUACCCUAUCCGCUUACCAUCGAAGAACGUGCAUAGGGUUUAUUUUAAUAAUAAAGAAAAUAUUUUAUUUGUUUUAGAAAAACGUUAACAUCAAAUUAAUCAUACCAAACAUAUAAUCAUGUCAUCUAAAUAGAGAAAAUCAAACAAAUCAUAUCAUAUUAUGCUUUCAUUUCAUCUUUACUUAUUUUUCGCGCGAAG